CUGGACAGAAAGACAGGUGGUGCAUGGUUGUCGUCAGCUCGUGUCGUGAGAUGUUGGGUUAAGUCCCGCAACGAGCGCAACCCUACGGUUAGUUGCUAACGGGUAAGGCCGAGCACUUUAGCCGAACUGCCGUUGACAAAACGGAGGAAGGUGGGAUGACGUCAAAUCAUCAUGCCCCUUAUGACCUGGGCUACACACGUGCUACAAUGGUUGGUACAACGAGUUGCGAGUCGGUGACGGCGAGCUAAUCUCUUAAAGCCAAUCUCAGUUCGGAUUGUAGGCUGCAACUCGCCUACAUGAAGUCGGAAUCGCUAGUAAUCGCGGAUCAGCACGCCGCGGUGAAUACGUUCCCGGGCCUU
rnacentral:rRNA from 1 species